CAGCAGCCGCGGUAAUACAGAGGUCCCGAGCGUUGUUCGGAUUCAUUGGGCGUAAAGGGUGUGUAGGAGGUCAGGUAAGUCGUGUGUGAAAUCUCAGAGCUUAACUCUGAAACUGCGCUCGAUACUGCUUGGCUAGAGGAUCGGAGGGGGUAACGGAAUUCAUGGUGUAGCAGUGAAAUGCGUAGAUAUCAUGAGGAACACCGGUGGCGAAGGCGGUUACCUGGAAGAUUCCUGACUCUGAAACACGAAAGCCAGGGGAGCAAACGGGAUUAGAUACCCCAGUAGUCCCUGUCUCUUAUAC
rnacentral:rRNA from 1 species